UGAGGAAUAUUGGUCAAUGGAGGCAACUCUGAACCAGCCAAGUCGCGUGAAGGAUGAAGGUCUUAUGGAUUGUAAACUUCUUUUGCAAGGGAAUAAAGUGGGGGACGUGUCCUCCUUUGCAUGUACCUUGCGAAUAAGGAUCGGCUAACUCCGUGCCAGCAGCCGCGGUAAUACGGAGGAUCCGAGCGUUAUCCGGAUUUAUUGGGUUUAAAGGGUGCGCAGGCGGGAUGUUAAGUCGGCGGUGAAAUUUUGCAGCUCAACUGUAAAAGUGCCUUCGAUACUGGCUUUCUUGAGUGUGGAUGAAGUAGGCGGAAUUUGUGGUGUAGCGGUGAAAUGCUUAGAUAUCACGAGGAACUCCGAUUGCGCAGGCAGCUUACUAAACCACUACUGACGCUCAUGCACGAAGGCGUGGGGAUCAAACAGG
rnacentral:rRNA from 4 species